rnacentral:rRNA from 1 species
AUUGAACGCUGGCGGCAUGCUUUACACAUGCAAGUCGAACGGCAGCGCGGGCUUCGGCCUGGCGGCGAGUGGCGCACGGGUGAGUAAUGCAUCGGAACGUGCCCCGCUGUGGGGGAUAGUCCGGCGAAAGCCGGAUUAAUACCGCCUACGACCUGCGGGUGAAACCGGGGGACCGAAAGGCCUCGCGCGCUUGUAGCGGCCGAUGUCGGACUGGUUGGUUGGUGGGGUAAAGGCUUACCAAGUCGGCGAUUCGUAGCUGGUCUGAGAGGACGGCCAGCCACACUGGAACGUAGACACGGACCAGAGUACUACGGGAGGCAGCAGUGGGGAAUGUUGGACAAUGGGGGCAACCCUGAUCCAGCCAUGCCGCGUGCGAGAAGAAGGCCUUCGGGUUGUAAACCGCUUUUGUUCGGGAAGAAAUCCUCUGGGCUAAUACCCCGGGGGGAUGACGGUACCGGAAGAAUAAGCACCGGCUAACUACGUG